rnacentral:rRNA from 1 species
AUGAAGUAUGGAGAUGUCAUGGGUGUAGAGUAUGGCUGCCGGAGAAGCCGGGAAGGUCGACUGGAGGAGAAGGAGCACGGGGCUACGGUGAUCUGCUGUGGGGGUUGCACUAGGAUUUGCGAGGGGAGAAGGAGGGGACAUCUGGGAAGGUACAACAUGAAGCAUGGCAUGACGGCUUCCAAGGUGCCCAAGCCAUGGAGCUCUCCAAGAAGCUUCUCUCUUUCGCCGGCGCCAUGGCCGUUCGCGGGGGCCGUGUGCUCUAUGUCGGCUCCUUCGACUCCCUCAAGGAUUCAUGGACUCCCAUGUCCACCUAGUGGCCCGCAGCUUGCUGAACUUAUCCCUGAGAAUUCUCCAUUAGGAAAGCCACAUGAUGAGAUAAGAGUUAUGCCAUUGUUCUUCAUUUCAGCAAAAUUUGAGUAUGAAUGUGUUGUCAAAAGGCAAACUGUUUCUCAUAUAGGCAAUGAUGAUGAAGUGCCAAUAUCAAGAAGAAAGCGACCUGUCCGAGAGAGACAUAUGGAUAAUUCAAGAACAGACAUAGAUGAUCGGAUGGAGUAUGCAUAUCUGCCAAGUAAGUCCUCUUCGGACCCUUCCACCUCGCUGGCCUCACCAUUGGAGACUCGACACAAGAACCGGCGCCGCCACUGUGUGUCUGCUGGUGACGCUCACACAAGAAUCCAGAGGCAGAACCUUGGUCCUCUCCCCGCGAACACCAGCUCUAUGAUGAUGCGGCCGCGCCCUGUGGGCGGCAUGACUGACACCACCGUCCAUGCCAUGUUUUGGCUGAUCCCCCAAGGCUCCUUGCCGAUGUCCAACCAGCACCGCGCAACCAAUGGUCCUGCCGCCAUGACGAUGCCCACCUAUGUGCUGGUCUAG